rnacentral:lncRNA from 1 species
GUUGCCAUUCUUACUGGGUUUUUAAAUUAUGUCUGAGUUGGAGUGUGUCCCUGUCUGUUAAAUGUUUUUUUUUUUUAUAUAAUUCCGUCUAGUUUGCUUAAAUUAAGGAAUUUUAUAUAUUUUACAUUUUUAUAUGUUUCAGCAUUUACUUUUUACUUUCAAGUAUGACAAUUGAAUACUUUGUCCACCACUUAAGUAUAUUUUAAAACAGAUACUUUUAGACUUUUACUCAAGUAGUAUUUUACUGGGUGACUCACUUUUACUUCAUUUUCUAUUAAGAUACUUUUACUUCACAUUCCUCCCAAUCUCUGUCUCCACAUUUCCUCCUCCUCACUGGUUUAUAAGGACCUGUUUCCCAACCCAGAGUACCACUGCACACCUGCCUGUCUACCAGCCCAGAUCAGCCCACAGUACCACUGCUGUUCACCUGCUUGUCUAUCUGUCCACGAUGAAGCUCAUCUUGACUCUCUCUCUCAUCUGCAUUCACUUCUGCUCAGGUAACACCACUGACCUCUCACAAUUAGAGGUGUCUACCAAGAUAAAUGGUUUCUUAACUGCAUCACUCCCAAAUGCCUGUGUAAAUAUUCAUCAUAGCUAAAUGGCCUUUACAGUACAUUUGUUUAAAUGUUCUUGUUUUUCAGUUGAGAUGCUGCAGUGUUUCAACUGUACUGAUGCAGCAUGUACAAACUCUUCUUUAGUUACCUGUCCAUCCUCAAAUGAAAGAUGUCUCACUGCAACCAGAACCAUACAAGGUGUGUUUAGAGUUUGUUGUCCACUACAUGCUAACGCUUCAAGACAAAUUAAAUUAUGCUGUUAGCUUCCUCAUGAAGGAUGCUUUUGAACACUCCUGUAAGAUUACAGUGUAAUUGACUCAUUGCUCUAUGAUAUUAUUUCUUUAUAUUCUAAAUUGAUCUAUUCUUCUCUGGUUUUGGAUCUGUUACUGGUGAAGGUCCCGAUAAUACCACCGUGGUACUCAAAAUGUGUUCACCAUCCUCCAUCUGUGUAACUCCUCUUAACACUGAAGUCACAGUGUCAGGGAACUUGGGCAUCAUAAGGGCUGCCUCUAACCAGCUCUGCUGUAACACCAAUGGGUGCAACAAGGAAACUCUGUCUGCCCCGAGUUCACUGGCUAACGGAAGACAAUGUACCUCUUACAGCAGCUUCCAAGGCGUUGUGCAUAACAGCACUGUGGCCUGCCUGGGGGUGGAGGACCAGUGCUUGAGCUUCAGCGGCAAUGUACUUGGCUCAAUCAAUUAUAUGGUGAACAUCCAGGGCUGUACAUCUACCAACGUGUGCAACUAUAUUGAUCAACUGCUGCCCUCAAGUUACAUCAACUUUGUGCAAUUCACCUGUAACACAGCCCCUUUACCUGUAACUGUAACCAAAGCCCAUAACACAGCCUGGUCCAUUAGACUGAGCCUAGUCCCUCUGCUGCUGGGCCUCACUAUCAGCAAACUCAUCUGAUAUAAACAGAGAUGAACAUAUCGGGACUCAUCUGACAACAUAAUGCAUUGAUUACAAAACAACAGAAUGUACAAUGAUUUUUAUGUAUUGUGAAAUACGUACUAUAAUUGAAAAUCUGUUGUUUAUAUGGAAUUUGCCAGAUGAUGCCCUGUGACAUUAUAUAUGCUUGCUUGAGGAAAUACUUUCUUAUAUAUUAUUCUGUAUAUUUGAUAAAGUGGGAUUGCUUGUAAGUUUAAAACAAAUAAUCUGUCAAUGCCAAUAAAGUUUCUAUCACUUUACCAAAAUGGAAAUAAAGUGUUAUCUUAUUGUGAACGUAAACCAAUCACACAAUAUUUUUUAUUUUAUUAGGAAUUAAUGCUUAUUUGAUUUUUUAACAGAUAGGGAUAAUAGCUAAUUAACACUCUUAAAUCCAAAUAAUAACAGAGUGUAUGGGAGAACCUAAUCAUACAGAAUGCUACCGUCCAAACAGAAAAUAAACUUAGACAGUCUUUUUUAUUUGACUUAGUGGAUUCAGUUUCUCUCUACACUUCUUCUACAGAGGAGAGGAAAACCUGCCGGGGAACAGGAUGUGUCUAUAAAGGAGAGGAAGGUGUGGUCUGCCGUGAAGCGUUCCACUUGGAUCAUACAGAAUGGCACCAUGCCAGCAGUGGCAGCCGCUGCCUUAUUCCCCUCCAUGUUUACCUCCACAAAGGCCUUAUGUGUCACGUGUAUAAUUGAUUGAUUGGAGACAGGCGCAGGAAUACGUAAUAGGGGGUUUAAAAUCGUGCAACAUUUCAACGUCCUGCUACUCAUGGCAGGAAUAUAGUUUAUGCAUAUUAUUAGUAUGUGUGGAUAGAAAACACUCUGAAGUCUCUAAAACUGGUUAAAUCAUGUCUGUGGCUUUAACAGAACGUGUUUAGGAGUAAAAAUCCAGAGGAAAACAAAAAGUCAUCCGCCAGUCUAUGUAUUGUCUACGGCGAAAAUAGAUACAGACCCGUUUACAAUGCCUACAGCUUCCACACAAUGUCGCCAGUACUGGCAUUUUAUUAGCAGUUUAUCCUUGGUGUGAUGACGAAUAGGCACUUCCUGUCUUGGGGUCCACCGAAGGAAGUUAUGAAAGGGAAAAUAUGGACGAUGAUUUCAAGACUUGCUGCUAUCGAAUACAGAUCGCCCCGUGAUAAAUUUUAUCGAUUAUUAACGUUUAUUAAUACCUAAAGUUGGUUUACAAAAGUAGUUUGAAGUGAUUUGUAAAAGUUUAUAGGCAACUUUUAGUAAUUUUAUACAAUGACGUUGCGUUUUGGAAAGGCGCUUUUUCCUG